rnacentral:lncRNA from 1 species
GGGUGGAGCUUGAUGCGGCCAUGGGAUGGCCAUGGAGCAAAGUCGACACACGAGUGUCUUCGAUCAUGCUCCAGAGUGUGCUUUUGGCCGGCAUGAUGAUGCCCUUGAUGUGCUCUGGCACGACCACUUGCGUACAACAACUCUAGGGAGAUUAAACAAAGGGGAAGGGGCAUGGGAUGCUCUCGAGGCUGGCCAGGAGAGAGAGA